GACGUAGGGCGCAAGCGUUGUCCGGAUUUAUUGGGCGUAAAGGGCUCGUAGGCGGCUCGUUGCGUCGGCUGUGAAAACCCGCAGCUCAACUGUGGGCUUGCAGCCGAUACGGGCGGGCUGGAGUUCGGUAGGGGAGACUGGAAUUCCUGGUGUAGCGGUGAAAUGCGCAGAUAUCGUAAGGAAGACCAGUGGCGAAGGCGGGUCUCUGGACAGUUCCUGACGCUGAGGCACGAAGGCCAGGGGAGCAAACGGG
rnacentral:rRNA from 1 species